GAGAGAAGGGGGCCUUCCGGGAGCCAGGAAAGGGAAGAAACACAGGAAGACGGGGCAUGCUGACAGAGCAAGAGGAGGGGAUGGAGUCAGGGAGAAGGAUGAGGCUGGAGAAAACAGAGCCCAGAGCAUACCUUUCUAGGCAUAUUGGAGUCCAGACUUUGCCCUGACAAUGGGGAACCACUGGAGCAUUUUACUGAAGUGACACAUUUGAAUUUAUGUUUUAGAGAGGUUUCUUUGGCUGCAGUACGGAAAAUAGAUGGGGUGGAAAGGAGAGAUGAGAGAACAGCAGGAAGAGCUGUUAGGAAGCCAUCGUGAGUGCCCAGGCAAGAGAUAAUAGCUUGGACUACAGUAGUGACCCAGGAGCAAAAAAAAAAAAAAAAAAAAAAGAAAGGCUCAAGUUAUUCAGGAGGUAAAAGGAACUGGAUUGGCAUUGGACUGGAUGUGGGAGCCAGGGGAGAAGAUGACAUCAAAAAUGAUGCUCCAGUUUUUGACUUGGGUAAAUGUACAACAGCAAGCAGCCCAGCCGAGUGAUUAGAAGCAUGGGCUACAGUUUCAACAGCCUGCAUUCAAAGUCUGGCUCUGUCCACAGCUAGCCGUUGAACCUGGGGCAAGGCACCGAUUCACUAGGUGCCUCAGAGUAUAAGAGAGGGAUAAUAAUUGUAUCUUCUGUACAGGGCUCUGGAAAAGGUUAAAUGAGGUAAAGUAUGUCAAAUGCUUGGAACGGAGCCUGGAAUAUCACAAGCACAGUAAAUCUUGGCCACUAUUACAUAGACAAGAUCUCAGGACCAGGCAUAGUUUGUGGGGGUGGGAGCAUCAUGAGCUAGGUUCAAACACACUGAUUUUGAGACAUCUAGGGAACCACAGAACAAGUUCUGGGCUGGAGAUGUAGAUUUCAUUUGAGAGCUGCCAGUAGUAGAGACGGUAAUUGAAGCCAUGGGAAUGGAGGCGAUUGUCCAGGGAGUGUAGGUAAAGUGAGAAUAGAUAAGUGCCAAAGGGCACAGUCUGGGUAUGUCAACAUUUAAGUGACAAUUUCAGAAAGAGAAGCCAAGGAAGAAACCAGAGAAAAGCAGUUGGAGAAGCAAGAAGGCAACCAGAAGUGGCCCUGGUACAGCUGUGAUGGGGAGACAAUGACGAAACAGCAGGAACUGGCACUGAGAGUUAUCGGUGUAGCUUGGGCUCUCCCCUCAUCAUCCUCUCCAGCUGGGAGUCAUGUGACAGAAGCAAGAAGCCUGUCACAGCGCACAUGUAAAAGAGCAAACUCCAGACACCCAUGUCUUAUCUGUGCUGACCCACAAGCGUGAGGUGGCCCACCUUGGUGACUGGAAAUGACACCAUCCAAUUUUUUCUGGCCACUAUGUUGCACCCCUGAUUUUUUCCUUCAUAUGACAGACUUCACAGCAAAUACUCCUACUGAGUCCAAACAACCGCUACGAUUGAGAACAAGCAUGAAUCCGCCACCCACCUUCUCCUGGAAAUAAGGUUAUUGGGUUGCUGAACUCCCAUGAACCAAAAAGAAAACACUGAAUGGUAUCCAAACCAGCCUGGAAAGGACAGCGAGAAAAGCCAGAACCAAGGCUGACCAGCCUGAAUGCUGGUAAAUGUUAUCAAGAUUUCUCUAUUCAUGCUACUCAACAUCCCAAAAAGAAUCAGCAUAAGGCCACAAACUCAACAAAAUUCCUUCUCCUUUUCAUUAAACUCCUGUCCUGACUCCAAGUUCACACCUAAAUAAACAGGCAAGCCUGUGCUCUGCACCCUGAGGAACAGUCUCCUAGGCUUUGUCCUUUCAGAGAGCCCAUUUCCAAGGACAGGCCAUCCAUCUACCCAGCUUUUCUCAAGGCCACAUAGCUCCUCUCUAAAGACAGCCAUCCCCAGUGGUUCAGUUGAUCCUGACAGCUGCGCCUACAGAGAAAGAAGGGAAGAGAGAUGGGAGAGGAAGAUCUCCCAGGAGUCAGGAUGCAAGGUGAAGCCAGCUGUUGAUCAGCGGUCACUCAGCAGCUAGACCAUGCGACACUCUCCUUCUGAAGGCUGUAGGCUGUGAGAGUGUUCUGAGUGGCAUUUAAGGAUAGCUCCCAGGCAGCGUGCCAGCUUCAGCAGGGCCUCCUAUGGUAAGCCCUAAAACGCAGAGGGAAAAGAAUAACCAAGUGGAAGUGGAUCAUCAUGCCAUCUAUCAGAGACAAUGCAUGUGAGAAUGCUGCUACUAAAUGAAUGAAAAACUCUUUGUAAACUCAAAGUCUGUAGUUCUCAAACUUGAGCAUGUAUCUUUUUUUUUUUUUAAAUUAAAACGCUGAUUUACUUGGCCUUAUUCUAGAAGUUGGAUUCAUUUGGUCUGGGGUAGGACCUAGAAAUUUGCAUUCCUAACAUUGCAUUUCCCGGAGGAUCUGAUACUGCGGGUCAGCGGCCACACUUGGAGAACUACUUGCUAAAACACAGGAUCCAUGUCAGCUGAAGCUAUAAUGGGCAAUCAUGAGCCAUGCCCAGACUGAGCAGUAAAAGGAAACAAUGUUACUGUCUAAAACAAGCAAGAAAAUAAUAGAAUAUUUAAAAAUAACAGAAUAUAUAAUGCUUGAGUUGCCAGUAGCAAAGUGUUAUGAUUAGGUCCUUGAAGUUGGAAAAAAGCAGAGAUUAACUAGACAUUUUUGAACAAGCCCUGUCCUCUAAUUCAGCAGAAAGGAAGAGACCAAGUCCAUCAUCCUCUCAGUAAACCAUUAGCCCUGGAGCAUUGGCUUUCCCUCUUCACAGAUGAGGAGUUCCAUCUUCUAACUCACACAGAGCAGGGAGAGGAUAAGAGCUGAGGAAAUGCCAUCACCCCUCAGCUGGUCACUGUCUCUACUAGUAGUGCCUCAUAUGGGUAUAAGGCUUUGUGGUUUUGAAAAGCUUUCCAGUGAUCAAAACAAUGUGACAUGGGUGAAAGAAUAGACAAAUGGACCAACUGAACAGAAUAGAGAGCCCAGAAAAAGACCCGCCCAAAUUUAGUCAACUGAGCUUUGACAAAGGAGCAAAGGCAAUACAGUGGAGAAAGGACAGUCUUUUCAAUAAAUGGUGCUGGAACAACUGGACAUCUGCAUGCAGGAAGAAAAAACUAGAAUCUAAACCAAGACCUUACAUCUCUUUCACAAAAAUUACCUCAAAACGGAUCAAAGACCUAAAGAAUCUGGAGCAGGAGCCUCACUCUCCUAUCAAAAGGAGAAGAACCUGAAGAAAACACUUCUCUUCCUUCUCUCUGCCUAGGGGCAGUGAUCUUGGAUUCAACCACCAUCAUCCCUUCCAGACACCAGAGGGGGGAGUCCCACAAGGCAGAAGGUGCCCCUGUGACCCAUCCACUUCUCUUCCAUGUUCUUUACCUCCUUGCUCAGGAAGCCAUAAAGUUGAGAUGAGUAGGUGAAUUUCAUUGCAAAGUUUACACAGACUCUGCUGACAGGUUCAUGAAAACACUACUGAAUAUGUUACAUACCACCAAUGCUCACAGCACAUCCUGUGUUGGAAGAGAUACUUUUCCAUUGCCAGUAACCCUCCCUUUGUCCUAGGAGCUCACUGAACAGCUAAAAUCAGGUGAUAUUUUUAUAUGGAACGUGCAACGUAUUAAGUCCUUUUGCUCAGUGACCCAAAAAGGAACUAAACGGUACCCAGACUAGAAAUCAAUGUCAAAUUAUUCAAAUAAAUUCCACUUAAAGAA